CCCUGGCGCCCGGCUCCCUUGCGUAGAGCCGCGGUGUUGUGAUCACGUGGGCUGCCCGGGGCGCGCGGCUUGUUUUGGUUUCCCUAGCGCUCACCCGGCGUAGCUUCGGUGAGCCGCUGUCCUUCUCGGGCUCCACUGCCACCUGCACCCCAGCUGGUGUUCGGGCUCUCUCGGCCCACGCUCCUAGGAGCCCCUCGGAGCGGCGUCCUGUCAUGCCUCUGGUGCGCUAAAGGAAGGUGGCCAUCCUGGGGUACCGCUCCGUAGGGAAGACAUCUUUGGCACAUCAAUUUGUGGAAGGCGAGUUCCUGGAAGGCUACGAUCCUACAGUGGAGAAUACUUACAGCAAGACAGUGACUCUUGGCAAAGAUGAGUUUCAUCUACAUCUAGUGGACACAGCAGGACAGGAUGAGUACAGAGUUCUGCCCUAUUCACUCAUCAUCGGGGUCCAUGGCUACGUGCUUGUGUACUCUGUCACCUCUCUGCAUAGGUAUGUGACUAAGAUUUUGAGUGGUGCUUGGAGGACUCAACAAUAAUCCCAGAACUGAGAUUAGAGCUCUAUCUCUUACAUUUUGAAGCUUCCAAAUCAUUAAGAGCCUGUACCAAAAGCUACAUGAAGGCCAUGGUGAAACUCGGUAAGUGGCCUCGGGAAACAAAGUGUGGACGUGCUGGUCUGGAAGAAAGCAAACGUGUGGGUUCUUCAGGGAAGCUGGACAUAGACCAUGCCUGGCUUGUUUGGGAAAUCAUCUUGCAUUGCUGUAGUUAGACUAGUUGGGGUCCAUAGAGAAUGGGGAAAGGGCUCUUUUUUUUUUUAAUAGUUUAUUUUUUACAUUCCAGGGAAAGGGCUCUUAUAAUCAUACAAUAGUAACUGCUGUUUCAUCACAGGCUGCCUGUGGUGCUUGUGGGGAACAAGGCAGAUCUCUCUCCAGACAGGUGUGUAAACCUCUGCUGCUCAUGGCAAAGGAAAGUAAGUUGUACUAGGGAUCAGUCAAGCUAUAGUCCUUCCCGCUAUGUUUGAGACCGGAUCUUCAGCAUGUAGUCCAGACUGUCCUUUUUUUUUUUUUUUUGGUUUUUCAAGACAGGGUUUCUCUGUAUUGUUUUGGAGGCUGUCCUAGAACUCACUCUGUAGACCAGGAUGGCCUCAAACUCACAGAGAUCCACCUGCCUCUGCCUCCUGAAUGCUGUGAUUAAAGGCAUGAGCCACCAACGCCCGGCCAGACUGUCCUUUUAACUCCCUGUCCUCUUGCCUUUCCAGCAGUGCCAGUGGAGAUUGUAGGGGUGGGUCACCAUGUCUGGCCAUUUUUCCCCCUUUUCAUCAUUACCUUGAUGGUUACUUAAGGACAACUCUGUCAUAAAGUCACAAUUCCUAUUUCAGGCUUUAGUCUUGCAUUUAUUUACCCAUCAUGCUUUUGUUUACAUGUAUUUUUUCUCACCUCACCCUCAUCAAACCAUGGGGGAGGGGUGUGAAGCAUCAAGAGGAAAUCUAAAUCUCAAAGAAUCUUCAGAGAGUUUUCAGGCAUUGUUUGUUUGGGUUUUUUUUUUUUUUUUUUUUGGUAUUUAUGAGACAGGGUUUCUCUGUAUUGUUUUGGAGUCUGUCCUGGAACUCGCUCUGUAGACCAGGCUGGUCUAGAACUCACAGAGAUCCGCCUGCCUCUGCCUCCCGAGUGCUGGGAUUAAAGGCAUGCGCCAGUCUACAGGCAUUGUUAUCUGCCUUCCAUCUUUAUGUUCCAAAUUUGCUUCCAGGGAGGUGCAGGCAAUUCAAGGGAAGAAGCUAGCGGAGUCCUGGGGCGCUACGUUUGUGGAAUCAUCUGCUAGAGAGAACCAGCUAACUCAAGAUAUUUUCAUCAAAGUUAUCCAGGAAAUUGCCCGUGUGGAGAAUUCUUAUGGGCAAGA